CUGUUUAUUUUUGUUCCAAGUGGGCAGGACCCUCUUGCCUGUUGUGACUAAUCCACUUGUCAGGGCUGGAAUCUCCUAACAGUUCCUCCAGUGCUGGGAAUCACAGCUAGGAUCUCAACGCUCCUCAAUACGCCAUACUCUAUCACCAUUGAACAAUAUUCACAGACUGAUGACAUGUCUUUCUUUGUGCUCACACAAGAGCAUGUGCAGAUGCUGGGACCAGAGAAGAGGCUCAGCAAUUAAGAGGACCUGGCAGCUCUUCCAGAGGACCUGUGUUUGAUUCCCAGAAUUCCUAUGGUAGCUCAAAAUUGUGUGUGUCUCCAGCCCUAGGGAACCCACCACCCUCUUCUGGCCUCUAUGGGCACUGCAUGCAUAAGGUGCACAGACAUGUAUGCAAGCAAAAAUAAAAAUCCGUACACAGA
rnacentral:lncRNA from 1 species